GCGCGGGCUGGCGGUGCGCGCCGAGCUCCGGUGGCUGGGCAGAAUCUGGUCCCGGGCUGGUACCUCUGCAGUCUGGGCAAUUCUCAGCGCUUGUUCCUGCUGCUCCGAUGUCUGAACAGGAGGCGAGAACCGUGCAGGAACACAAACAUGGCGUGACUUGGAUUGCUUCACCUUGAAAUCAGAGAGCUUUGAGAAAAUCAAACCCCUAAUAAGUAUUCUGCCUAAAGUUUGGAUUGGCACAGGUUGUCUUUUCACUUUGAUACUGUCUUUGGACAUACAGACGCUUAUAAUUUUG